rnacentral:rRNA from 1 species
UCGGGAAUUUUGGGCAAUGGGCGAAAGCCUGACCCAGCAACGCCGCGUGAAGGAUGAAGUAUUUCGGUAUGUAAACUUCGAAAGAAUAGGAAGAAUAAAUGACGGUACUAUUUAUAAGGUCCGGCUAACUACGUGCCAGCAGCCGCGGUAAUACGUAGGGACCAAGCGUUGUUCGGAUUUACUGGGCGUAAAGGGCGCGUAGGCGGCAAUUCAAGUCAUCUGUGAAAUCUCCGGGCUUAACUCGGAACGGUCAGAUGAUACUGCUUUGCUAGAGUGCAGAAGGGGCAAUCGGAAUUCUUGGUGUAGCGGUGAAAUGCGUAGAUAUCAAGAGGAACACCUGAGGUGAAGACGGGUUGCUGGGCUGACACUGACGCUGAGGCGCGAAAGCCAGGGGAGCAAACGGGAUUAGAUACCCCGGUAGUCCCUGAGCGGGCUGGCAAGGCGCAU